CAAGAAACGCAUGUGACAAGACUACACAGGAAAUUAUUAAGUAACAAGAAAUUAGGCCAAGAAUUUAUUUCAUCAGAUAAAGUCAAAAAAAGAGGAGUGGUACUCUAUGCAAAGGAGAACCUAUCACCCAAAUUUAUCUUCAAAGAUGAACAAGGAAGACUGGUAGCAAUUGAAAUUCAAUUACAAGGAGAUAGAUAUUUGGUGAUAGGUAUCUAUGCACCAAAUGAAGGGAAAUCGGAAUUCUUCAAAAAGUUACAUGAAAUCUUGAUGGACUAUAUGGAUUAUAACAUGAUUUUGAUGGGAGACAUGAAUGGUGUCGUAUCUACAAAUAUGGAUAAGGUGCAAAGACAAACAAUUACCAAGGAUGGAAGACUACCAAAAACAUUUUUUGAUAUGACUGAUAACUUGGACUUGAUUGACGUUUGGAGAAUGAAGAAUCCUCUGGGAAGAGAGGGAACUUUCUUCUCGGAGGCAAAAAUGACAUGGACAAGAAUCAACCAAAUCUGGGUAACUAGAGGACUGGCUCCAAAGAUCAGCAAGGCUGAAAUUUGCCCAAAAACUAGCUCUGACCACAACGCGGUGAAGAUGGAAAUGAAAUUAAUGCCAACUGGUUCCUUCAGAUGGAGGAUGAAUGACUCUUUGUUCAGGAAUGAUGAAUUUAUUAAAAAGGCCCAAAAAACUUUGAAAGAUUAUUUUGAGAUAAAUAUGAAUACUUCAGUGGAAAAAAGAGUAAUCUGGGACGCAAGUAAAGCCGUAAUGAGAGGUUUUUUGAAACAACAGAAUGCAAAUAAGAAGAAAAGGCAAAAUGAGAAAAAAGACAAAAUUCUGGAAAAAAUAAAGGAAGGAAAGAAGAAACUGAGGGCGAAACCAAAGUCUCAGGAAAUUUUAAAAGAAAUAAAGCUAUACCAAGUACAAUAUAUGAAAAUGAUGAACCAGGAAAUAGAAUGGAAGAUUAAACAGAUGAGACAAAAGACAUUUGAAUCGGCAAAUAAGUGUGGGAAACUACUGGCUUGGCAAUUGAAAAAAAGACAAAAAUUAAAUACUAUUACGAAUCUGGAAGUGGAAGGAAAGAAUAUACAGAAUCCAGCUGAAAUUAGAAGGUGCUUCCAGAGGUAUUUUAAACAAUUAUAUACACAAGAAAAGCAGAACGAAAUGGACAUUGAUAAAUUCUUGAAAAUAAAUGGACUUCAAAAAAUUUCCCAAGAAAACAAAUUAAUGUUGGAUUACAAAAUAACGGAUCAGGAAGUAGAAGGGGUCAUUCAGAAUAUGCAACUAGGUAAAUCUCCAGGACUGGAUGGACUGACUUCUAGAUACUAUAGAACUUUGAAAGAAUGGUUAAUACAACCAUUAAAGGAAGUCUGCAAUGAAAUAUUGGAAGGGAAAAGGGCACCUGAAUCGUGGAAAGAAGCAUAUAUUACACUUAUACCAAAAUCAGAGUCUGAAAAGACGCAACUUAAAAACUACCGUCCCAUAUCACUGCUUAACGUGGAUUAUAAAAUUUUUGCAGACAUUUUGGCUAAAAGAUUAAAAAGGGUGCUAGCAGAAGAAAUUCAUAAAGACCAAGUGGGCUUUCUCCUGGGCAGACAUUUGUCUGAUAAUACAAGGAAUAUAAUUAAUAUUUUAGAAAAGCUACAAGUGAAGAUUAAUACUAAAGCAGUUUUGAUUUUUGUGGAUGCGGAGAAAGCCUUUGACAAUAUUUCUUGGAGUUUUAUGAAGAAGAAUCUAUUGGGGAUGGGAUGGGGGUUGGUAAAGGUUUUGGAAAUGGUAUAGGUGCAAUCUACUCAGAACAAAAGGCUAAAUUAAUUGUUAAUAAUGUAGUGACGGAAGAAUUUAAGAUUGAGAAAGGAACACGACAAGGUUGCCCAAUCUUUCCAUUGCUUUUUAUUUCGGUCCUGGAGGUUCUGCUAAAUAUGAUUAGAAGGGACCAAUUGGUUAAAGGUAUACAAGUGGGAGCUAAACAGUACAAACUGAAAGCAUUCGCAGAUGACUUAGUAUUGACUUUACAGGAGCCAGAAUCAAGCACUAAAAGAGUACUAGAAUUGAUUCAAGAAUUUGGUCAGGUAGCAGGUUUUAGGUUGAAUAAGAUGAAAACUAAAGUUUUGGAGAAAAAUCUACAUGAGAUUGAGAGAGAGAAGUUUCAGAAGGAGACAGGACUGACACUGGUUAAGAAAGUGAAAUAUUUAGGGGUUAAUAUGACUGCUAAGAAUGUGAAUUUAUUUAAGGAUAAUUAUGAAAAAUGUUGGACUGAAGUGAAAAAAGAAUUAGCAAUAUGGUCAAAUCUGAAGCUAUCGUUGCUAGGCCGAAUUGCCAUGAUAAAAAUGAAUGUAUUGCCAAGAAUGUUGUUUUUGUUUCAAACAUUGCAAAUUUUGGACAAAAUGGACUGUUUCAAGAAGUGGCAGAGAGAUAUCUCCAGAUUUGUCUGGCAGGGCAAGAAGCCUAGAAUAAAAUUUAAAAUAUUAACAGAUGCAAAGGAAAGAGGUGGAUUUGCCCUGCCAGACUUUAAACUUUACUAUGAAUCAGCAGCUUUUUGCUGGUUGAAAGAAUGGUUGCUUCUUGAAAACACUGACAUUUUGGAUUUGGAAGGUUUCAAUAAUGUAUUUGGUUGGCAUGCAUAUUUGUGGUAUGAUAAGGUUAAAGCACACAAGGCGUUCAAAAGCCAUAUUGUAAGAAAAGCACUGUUUAAUGUCUGGAUAAGAUAUAAGGAUUUGUUAGAAAACAAAACCCCAAGAUGGCUGUCACCAAUGGAAGCAAAGGCUCAGAAAAAACCAAUAUGGAGGCCAAAUGGCCGAAGUAUUGGGAAAUUUUGGAACAAGAGGGUGACAGAUUAAAACUGCAGAGCUUUGAAAAAUUAAAAAACAGAGUACGAGAUUGGCUCCAUUAUUACCAAAUAAUGGAGGCAUAUAACUUGGACAAGAAACUAGGCUUCCAGGUGGAAAAAUCAAAGCUGGAAACAUAAUUGUUAGACCCUAAAGUUAAGAAUUUGUCAAGAAUGUAUAACUUGCUGUUGAAAUGGAAUACACAAGAUGAAAUGGUGAAAUCUGCUAUGAUUAAAUGGGCACAAGAUGUUGGACAUAAUAUUAUGAUGGCUGACUGGGAACAGUUAUGGACCACUGGUAAGAAGUUUACGGCAUGUAAUGCCUUAAAAGAGAAUUUAAUGAAAAUGAUUUACAGGUGGUACAUAACACCAGUCAAGCUUGCAAAAAUUUAUCAUUUGCCCAAUAAUAAAUGUUGGAAAUGUAAUGAAAUUGAAGGUACAUUCUUUCACCUUUGGUGGACAUGCCCAAAGAUUAAGGCAUUCUGGGAGAUGAUCUAUAAUGAAAUGAAAAAGGUAUUUAAAUAUACCUUUCUAAAGAAACCAGAGGCCUUUCUCCUGGGCAUGGUAGGCCAAUUGGUGCCAAAGAAGGACAGAAUUGUUUUCAUGUACGCCACAACAGCAGCAAGAAUACUUAUUGCAAAGCACUGGAAGACACAAGAUCUACCUACCAAAGAAGAAUGGCAGAUGAAGCUGAUGGAUUACAUGGAACUGGCGGAAAUGACUGGCAGAAUCCGAGACCAGGGAGAAGAGUCAGUGGAAGAAGACUGGAAAAAAAUUAAAGUAUAUUUACAGAAAUAUUGUAAAAUUAAUGAAUGUUAGAAGGAUGCUGGAAAGAAGUUAUAUGACCCUAGUAGAAAUGUUAUAAAGAAUUAAGUAUGAAUAGACUGAUAAUGGGUAAAGGUUAAACUUAAGGUUAAAUUGCGUUAAGAUAAAUUAUGGAACUAAAUUUGAGAAAGAGGGAAAGGACUUGCUGGAACAAUUAAUUGAACUAGAAUACAAAAAAGGAGGUGUGAGGAAAUCGAGGAAAUAAGCAAAUGAAAGAUAAGGAUAUGAAAAUACGGGGUCUUUUUUUGUUCUUUUUUCUUGUUUUUCCUUUUAUCUUUUAAAGGUUUGUGUUUUUUAAAUGUUUCUGUUUUUCUUUUUUCUUUAAUGUGUCGAUGUACUGUUGAUGCUUUGUAUUACUGUAUUUCCUUUUGUUUUUGAGGUUUUGUAAUUGUUUAUUGCUUGUAUUUAUUUAUUUUUCUUUUUUCAUUUUUUUGUAAUACUUAAACUCUAAUAAAUAUCUUU
rnacentral:lncRNA from 1 species